AGACGGUGAUAAAAAGCAUGAACAAAGCACACCAUCUUUCAGGACUGAUUGGUGUGCUCUCUGUGCCAUGCUGUCAAAUCUGCAAUUGACGUAU
rfam:Hordeum vulgare subsp. vulgare, WGS project CAJW01000000 data, contig: morex_contig_1573908